rnacentral:rRNA from 1 species
AUCGAACCCGGAGAUAGCUGGUUCUCCUCGAAAUAGCUUUAGGGCUAGCCUCGAUUUAGUCUUAUGGAGGUAGAGCACUGAAUUUCCGCGGGGGCGUCAAAGCUUACCAAAGAAUAUCAAACUCCGAAUGCCAUGUAGAUGAUGAUCGGGAGUCAGACUGCACGAGAUAAGUUGGGCAGUCAAAAGGGAAAGAGCCCAGACCACCGGCUAAGGUCCCAAAGUGCGUGUUAAGUGGAAAAGGAUGUGGGAAUUCGAAGACAACUAGGAUGUUGGCUCAGAAGCAGCCAUACAUUCAAAGAGUGCGUAACAGCUCACUAGUCGAGAGUUCCUGCGCCGAAAAUGUCCGGGGCUGAAACACGACACCGAAGCCGUGGACUCGCAAUGCGAGUGGUAGAGGAGCAUUCUUAAAACCGACGAAGCUGUACCGAAAGGAGCAGUGGAGGGAUAAGAAGAGAGAAUGCCGGAAUGAGUAGCGAGAGAAAGGUGGGAAUCCUUUCGGCCGAAUAUCUAAGGUUUCCAGAGUAAAGCUGAUCUGCUCUGGGUAAGUCGGGGCCUAAGCACAGGUCGCAAGACGUAAGCGAUGGAUAACAGGUUUAGAUUCCUGUACCACGCAUUAUCAGAACUGUAGGGACGCAUGUGGAAAGCACGAGCCGGGAAUGGAAAGACCGGUACAAGCGGGGUAGGUGUACAAUAGGCAAAUCCGUUGUAUAAUCCGAAGACGUGAUGUGGAGCGAAAUAAAGUAGUGAAGCGUGUGAGCCAUGUGCCGAGAAAAGCUGCUAUUGUGUAAUGCGUGCCCGUACCGUAAACCGACACAGGUGGAUGAGGAGAGAAUCCUAAGGCCGACGGAAGAAGCAUUGUUAAGGAACUCGGCAAAAUGACCCCGUAACUUCGGGAGAAGGGGUGCCUGCGAGAGCAGGCCGCAGAGAAUAGGCUCAAGCAACUGUUUAGCAAAAACACAGGUCUAUGCGAAACCGAAAGGUGAAGUAUAUGGGCUGACGCCUGCCCGGUGCUGGAAGGUUAAGAGGAGAGGUUAGCGCAAGCGAAGCUUUGAAUUUAAGCCCCAGUAAACGGCGGCCGUAACUAUAACGGUCCUAAGGUAGCGAAAUUCCUUGUCGGGUAAGUUCCGACCCGCACGAAAGGCGUAAUGAUUUGAGCGCUGUCUCGACAAUGCA